ensembl:snRNA U6 U6 spliceosomal RNA
GUGUUCACUUUAGUAGCACAUAUACUAAAAUUGGAACAAAACAGAAAAUAUUAGCAUGACCCCCGUGCAAAGAUGGCAUACAAUCAUGAAGUAGUCCAUAUUUCU